rnacentral:misc_RNA from 1 species
AAUUCUCAACCUUUAUCAGCUUUUGCUGAUGAUGGCUUGGAUGUGGGGGUUUAUUUUGCUGGCUUCUUUACAGAUAGUCAGCUCCCCUUAAAUGCAUUAGCCGGUGCCCCGCGUGGACUGUCUAUUGGUGUGAUAAUUAUCUACGCCGUGGACAUCUGCAAUCAUAUGGGUUUGCACUGCUUCCAAUCGUCUGUUCAAUCAGACAAUACAUGACA